rnacentral:misc_RNA from 1 species
GAAAUGCGAUAAGUAGUGUGAAUUGCAGAAUUCAGUGAAUCAUCGAAUCUUUGAACGCACAUUGCGCCCUUUGGUAUUCCUUAGGGCAUGCUUGUUCGAGCGUCAUCUAAACCUUCAAGCCCUGCUUGGUGUUGGGUGCCUGUCCCGCCUCCGCGCGCGGACUCACCUCAAAUCCAUUGGCGGCCCCCGCGUCGGCCACGAGCGCAGCAGAAACGCGAACUCGUGAGCCCGUCCGGGCGGCUCCCAGAAGCUACACCCACCCAGUUUGACCUCGGAUCAGGUAGGGAUACCCGCUGAACUUAAGC